rnacentral:rRNA from 1 species
AUUGAACGCUGGCGGCAGGCCUAACACAUGCAAGUCGAGCGAGCGGCGGACGGGUGAGUAAUGUAUGGGGACUGCCCGAUAGAGGGGGAUAACUACUGGAAACGUUAGCUAAUACCGCAUACUAUCGGAUAACCCAUAUGGGAUUAGCUAGUAGGUGAGGUAAUGGCUCACCUAGGCGACGAUCCCUAGCUGGUCUGAGAGGAUGAUCAGCAACACUGGGAAUGAGCCACGACCAAGACACCUACGGAGUCAGAGGUGGGGAAGAUUGCACAAUGGGCGCAGGCCUGAUGCAGCCAUGCCGCGUGGAUGAAGAAGGCCCUAGGGUGGUAAAGUACUUUCAGUCGGGAGGCGUUACCGACAGAAGAAGCACCGGCUAACUCCGUGCCAGCAGCCGCGGUAAUAC